rnacentral:rRNA from 2 species
GGACGUAAGGGGGGGCCUACCAUGCAAGUCGAGCGGUAACAGGGGAAGCUUGCUUCUCGCUGACGAGCGGCGGACGGGUGAGUAAUGUAUGGGGAUCUGCCCGAUAGAGGGGGAUAACUACUGGAAACGGUAGCUAAUACCGCAUAAUCUCUUAGGAGCAAAGCAGGGGAACUUCGGUCCUUGCGCUAUCGGAUGAACCCAUAUGGGAUAGCUAUGUAGGUGAGUAAUGGCUCACCUAAGCGACCAUCCUGUGGACUGAGGAUGAACCCACUGGACUGAGACACGCCCAGACUCCUACGGGAGGCAGCAGUGGGGAAUAUUGCACAAUGGGCGCAAGCCUGAUGCAGCCAUGCCGCGUGUAUGAAGAAGGCCUAGUGUAAAGUACUUUCAGUCGGGAGAAGGGUUGAUGCUAUAUCAUCAAGAUUGACGUUACGACAGAAGAACACCGGCUACUCGUGCCAGCAGCCGCGUAAUACGGAGGGCAAGCGUUCAUCGGAAAUUACUGGCGUAAGCGACAGCAGGCGGUUGAUUAAGUUAAAUGUAAAUCCCCGGGGCUUACCUGGGAUGGCAUUAACUGGUAGUGAGUUGUAGAGGGGGGGAGGAAUUUCCAUGUGUACGGUGAAAAUGUAAGAUGUGGAGGAAACCGUGGCGAGGCGGCCUCCUGGCAAAGAUGACGGUCAGUCGAAGCGUGGGGAAGCAACAGAUGAUACCCUGUAGUUCCACGCGAAACGAGCGAUUUGAAGUUGUCCUUGAAGAGUGGCUUUGGAGUAGCUUAAAUGACCCUGGGGAACGGCCGCAGUUAAAAUAAGAAAUUGAGGGGGCCGCAACGGUGGGCUGGGUUUAUUGAAUCAACGGAAGACCUUACCCUUUGACCUCCAGAAUUACCAAAAGUUGGUGCCUUGGGAACUUGAGACCAGGUGCUGCAGGUGUGUCACUGUGUUGUGAAAUGUGGGUAAGUCCGACGAGGCCACCCCUUAUUCCUUUUUCCAGCUUGGCUGGGAACUCAGAGACUGCCGUGAUAACGAGGAGUGGGAUGACGUCAGUCAGUCAUGGCCUCUUACGAGUGAGGCUACACCACGUGGCUUACAUGGCGUAUACAAAGAGAGCGAACCUCGCGAGAGAACAACGGAACCUAGAAGAUCGCCUCGUUAUCCGUGGAGUCUGCAACUCGACUCCAUGAAGUCGGAAUCGCUAGUAAUCGUAGAUCAGAAUGCUACGGUGAAUACGUUCCCGGGCCUUGUACACACCGCCCGUCACACCAUGGGAGUGGGUUGCAAAAGAAGUAGGUAGCUUAACCUUCGGGAGGGCGCUUACCACUUUGAUUUCAGUUUUCU